rnacentral:rRNA from 1 species
AUUAACGCUAGCGGCAGGCAUAAUACAUGCAAGUUGAACGGCAGCACAGGUAGCAAUACUGGGUGGCGAGUGGCGCACGGGUGCGUAACACGUAUGCAACCUACCCUAUACAGGCGAAUAACCUUUAGAAAUGAGGGCUAAUACGCCGUAGUAUUACAGAUGGGCAUCUAUUUGUAAUUAAAGAUUUAUCGGUAUAGGAUGGGCAUGCGUCCCAUUAGUUAGUUGGUAAGGUAACGGCUUACCAAGACGAUG